rnacentral:rRNA from 1 species
CCCUUAGAUGUUCUGGGCUGCACACGUGCUACACUGGCAGGUUCAGCGAGCUUCAUGCCCUGAUCGGAAAGGAAUGGGAAAUCUUUUCAAAACCUGCCGUGCUUGGGAUAGAUGUUUGCAAUUAUUCAUCUUCAACGAGGAUUGCCUUGUAAGCGCACGUCAUCAGCGUGCAUUGAAUACGACCCUGUAUUCUGUACACACCGCCCGUCGCUCCUACCGAUUGAAGUUUUCGGUGAGUUGACAGGAGGAUUUUUUUGAAACUGGUUCGCCAGUGGAUUUUAGAUCCAAAUGCCAACGAAUCGAUGGCUUUAGAGGAAGGAGAAGUCGUAACA